GGCCACCCGCUAGCUCGCCCGCGAUGAGACUGGAGUGGCCCCUGUCUCCAAAAUGUCUCCAAAACAGGAGGCGGGUUCGAAUCCCGUCGGGGCCA
rnacentral:tRNA from 1 species